GAUCCUGGCUCAGGACGAACGCUGGCGGCGUGCCUAACACAUGCAAGUCGAACGGAGUCGGCCCCGCAAGGGACUGACUUAGUGGCGAACGGGUGAGUAACGCGUGAGCAACCUGCCUUUCAGUGGGGGACAACAGUUGGAAACGACUGCUAAUACCGCGUAAAGCAUUUUGACCGCAUGAUCGAGAUGCCAAAGAUUUAUUGCUGAAAGAUGGGCUCGCGUCUGAUUAGAUAGUUGGUG
rnacentral:rRNA from 1 species